rnacentral:lncRNA from 1 species
UUAAUGAAUGACAGACCAACGUUGCUUUCUACAUUCUCUCUCUACCUGCAAGUCAAAAUAUGUCCAAAAACCCUAACUUUCCUUUCAAAUUUCAAAUGCCUUUUUUUCAUUUUCGUUCUCUCUCUCCCCCUCAAAUCCAGAUCCAAAUGAAAUUUUCGUUCUCUCUCUCCAAGCGAUUUUGUAGAUUGUAGAUCCAGGGUUUCGGGCAUCUUCAAGGUGGGUUUAUGGCAUUUUCAGAUCUCACAAAACUUCAUCAUCAAGAAUAUCAUUCAAGAUCUCUCACCAGAUGCCGUUUCAUGACCAGAUCUGUGAUUAUUUGUGAUUUAUGAUAGAUGUUAUUUGUGGUGUUAUUAUUGUUUGUAUACAUAUGGUCCUCCACCGUAAUGCCGUCGUCAUCACUAUCCACUUCAAACCCUCUGUUUAUUAUGGCUGGUUCAGGCCCCUGUUGUGAUUCUGGUUUACAGUUUCUUUCGGAAAGAUAAGAAUCAGAGCUCGAUAAUUCAUCGUUUUUGUUAUGUUCGUUCGAGUGAGUUAUCAAAAUUCAUAUGUAAACUUGAUUGUAUAUUUUUUAAAAUGUUACACUGCAGUACUUGAAAGCUGUAGCUAGAGGUUUAUUGGGGCUUCCGGUUGGUUAUAGCUGUGCAUCUACAGUCCCAGGGAAUGGUUCAAGUCUCAGGUGGAGCUCUGUGAGGAGAUAUAAAACAGGAGAUUAGUUGCCAGUCGUUGGCGCUGACAUGGAGCGAGAAGGCAGCGGCGGAGGCAGUUGCAGCAGCCUCAUGCUCCGGCCAUGGUAGAGCUUUUGUUCACCAUUUGACUUCUGAUGGUCAACCAGUUUGUGAGUGCUUUAAUUGUUAUAACGGAUCUGAUUGCUCUCUAUAUUCUCGUGAAUGUGAUGCAGUUACCACAAGUGGGAAUCUUACAUUUGCGGAGCCAUUUUGGAUUCAAAAUGUAGCUAAUACUGCAGUCGUCAUAUCGGGAUGGCAUCGUAUGGGUUACAACAUCGCUGGUGUGAGGUUAUUCGUAGUGAGUCAUAGUCGGUGACAGUUACGGCGCCGGAGUGGUGACAGUUGUUCGAAUUGGUCAUCGUCUAACGUGGUGGUGAGGCGACUUCUGUUGAAGAUUUGGGGACAGGGCCAACUUGAUGCGUGUAAGAAGCCUGUGUGGAAUAGGUUUUCUAAUGGAGUCAUGGAUGUGGUUAAACACGUUAUGGCUGCAGCUUGGCUUGCGCUCGGUGAGUGAACUAAACCGACACUUAAGUCGUCUUAGUCGCAGUCAUUAAAAGCGCUUUCUGAUGGUGCAUCACUCCCUGCAAUACAGGUUGUAGUUUUACUUUAGUAUUCUAAUUGAUUGUUUUACCUUUGGGAUUUGGAAAAUUGAAUACAUUGAAUACGUUUACUUGUGUAUAUAGAUGAAAAUUU